UUGUCUCCCCGUGUUGGGAGGCGAUGAGCCCGAGCCCACUGAUACAGCUGUUUGCAAGUGAUCGCAGGCUUCCUGGGGCGAGCCCGGGGCCGCGCCGCACCCGUCCUUCUGCACCCAGGAGAACCCGCCCCCCAGACCCCGGCCAGCGGACACCCGCGGAACCCCAGAGCCCAGCUACAGGCCCAGGGCCUGAGCCAAAGGCUGAGCCAGGAGGCCGUGGUGUUCGCAGCUUCCAGCCGCUGAACCCGGCCGGCUGCCCCUGGGGAAUGAUUUUUUUUUUAUGAUCUCCGAGUAAGGCGCCCAGGCAGCGAUGUGAUUUUCGCCUACAGAACCUGGGACAUGUUAUAUACGUCGUGGCCGGGCAAAAACGUUACAAACACCCUUAAAUAUUUCACCCUUCUGCAGAAUGUCUUAGGUUAAUGGUUUUGAGUCCGUUUUCUUUGAGCCUGAGAACCAGCCAGUCUCCCUCAGAGCAGACUUUGAAGAAGCUGGGCUUCGCAGGCAGGCCAACAUUUUAACCUGACCUUGAGCUCGCACUCAGCAGUCCUGGUUAUCUCGAGGGUCUCGCACCCUAAACAGGACCCAGCACGUGGCAGACAUAUAAUGAACUGUGGUCCGUUUGAGUUUGAUUGUGUUUAAUGUUAGUUUUCUUUGUAACCAGGGAAGGAUAAAGUCAUCUCAGACGCUGUAACUGGGCCACCCACCACUUGGCGUAGGAACUGUAGCUUCGGUGUACGGUGCUCGGGAUGUUGUAAUCUUGCCUCUUUGAACUGCGGCAAGUGCUUCCAUGAGCUGGAUGAACCUUUGGAGUAAUUUAUGGCAAAGUGGCAAAGCCUGUGUCUUUUCUGGGCCUAAGCUGGUGUUUCUGAGGUUGAGGGUGAAGGUGGUGGUUUCUUAAAACCCACCACCUUCAGUGAGACCCUUCCCUGUAAUCAAAUUCCCAAUGAUAUUAUUCCCUGUAUUUACUGAAUAUUUUGUGCUAAAUUCUGUACAUGAAUCACUGCAGUUAAUAAUGCUCGUGACAAUCUCCUUUUCCUAUGGGGAGAACUAUGAAUUCCUUUACAUAUCCACAGCACAGUUUUCAAAAUAUGAAAAGUAAUGUGGAAAUAAUACUAUAAUCUACAAACCUUAUACAGAGGUGUUAUCAAUUGUUCUGAUAAUAUCCUUAAUAACAAAAGAAAAUUCAAAAUCAUGCAUGUUGCAUUCUUAGACUCCUUUAACAUACUAUAGAUACUCUUUUGCACUUUACUGUUUUUCACUUAGCAAUAUAUCCUGGAAAUCAUUACAUAUCAGUUCACAGAGAUGUAUGGAUGGACUUUUAUUUAACCACUCUUAUAUAUGAGCAUCUAAAUUGUUUCCAAUAUUUUCUAAUUACAAACCAUGCUGCAAUGAGUAACCAGGAGCAUAUGUAUUUUCAUAUUGUUAGGGGGUAUAUCUUCAAGGUAAAUUCCUAGAAGUGGGAUUGCUAGGGCAAAAGGUAAAGACAAAUGUAGUUUUGUUAGUAAGGACAGAGUCCUCUCAGUAAGGGUUAUACCAGUGUGCAUUGGCAAAAUAUGGGAGGGCCUACUUUCCCACCACCUCACCAACAGAGUACAUUUCUGUGCUUUUCCAUUUUUGCUAACCUGAUAGGUGAGAAAUGGUAUUCUAGUGCAGUUGUUUUGUGUGUGGUAAAAUGCACAUAAACAUAAAAUUUACCAUUUAAACUAUUUCUCAGUGUACAAUUCAGUGGCAUUAAAUACAUUCACAGGGACUUCCCUGGUGGUCCAGUGGCUAAGACUCCUCGCUCCCAUUGCAGGGGGCCUGGGUCCGAUCCCUGGUCUGGGAAAUAGAUUCUGCAUGCAUGCCACAGCUAAGAGUUCACAUGCUGCAACUAAAGAUCUGGCUCAGGCAAAAUAAAUAAAUAAAUAAAUAUUUUUUAAAAAAUAAAUAUGCAAAUACAUUCACAAUGUUGUGCAACCAUCACCACCAUCCAUUUCCAGAAGUUUUUCUUUUUUUUUUUUUUGCGGUACGCGGACCUCUCACUAUUGUGGCCUCUUCCGUUGUGGAGCACAGACUCCGGACGUGCAGGCUCAGCGGCCAUGGCUCACGGGCCUAGCCGCUCCUCGGCAUGUGGGAUCUUCCCUGACCGGGGCACGAACCCGUGUCCCCUGCAUCAGCAGGCGGACUCUCAACCACUGCGCCACCAGGGAAGCCCUCCAGAUGUUUUUCAUCCUCCAAACUGAAACUCUGGACUCAUUAAAGACCAGCUCCUCACUCCCCCCUCCCCCAGCCCCUGGUAACCUCUAUUCUAUCUUCUGUCUCUAUGAAUUUGCCUAUUCUAGGUACCUCAUUGUAUGGUCAGGCCACUCGAGAUGGCUGUUCUCUUGCUCUCUGUAUAUUCCCCUGCCCGACCAGUGCCUGCUUCACCUAUAUCUUAAGCACAUGACUGACCUUCCUACGUACUUGCCCCAGGCCCCAGCUAGUGCUUGUUCUUAUCAAAGGGGCAGUGAGGGGCGUGCCCCUAUAACUGGUAAUCAAACCUCCCACCCCUCCCCACAGAGAAGACUGCCAUUAUGUCCUGCCCACCCUCAGCUGCACACGGUGGGGAGCUGCUCCGGGACCUUGCUUCAGACAUGCAGACAGGCCUUGCCAGUGCCUUCAACCUCUGAUUCCCUGGCCUCCUCGCAACACCCCAGUGGAAGCACUCCUCCUUCUGGAACUUAAGCUGCUGGACCACCGGAUCCUGAGGUGCUGGUGACCUCUGGGGCAGGGGUAAAAAUGAACAAGAAAAAGAACCCUAAAAUUGACAAGAAUCCUCUCCAAGCCCCCUACAGACAGGAGAGCCCACAUUCCUGGGGAUGGGAAUGCUGUGAGGCAACAUUUUACCAUUGAGGUAUGAACAAAGUCAACUUGUGGGCAAAAAUAAAAAUUCACUGAAUGCA